CGCGAAUGGCUCAUUACAACAGCUAACAAAUCUACUUGAUCUUGACACAAUCCUACUUGGAUAACUGUGGUAAUUCUAGAGCUAAUACAUGCAUUAAAGCUCUGACCUUCGGGGAAGAGUGCAUUUAUUAGAACAAAACCAAGCGGCUUCGGCUGUUUUCGGUUGACUCAUAGUAACUGAGCUGAUCGCAUGGUCUUGCACCGGCGACGUGUCUUUCGAGUAUCUGCCGUAUCAACUUUCGAUGGUAGUGUAUCUGACUACCAUGGUGAUCACGCGUAACGGAGAAUAAGGGUUCGACUCCGGAGAGUUCGCCUGAGAAAUCGCGAACACAUCUAAGGAAGGCAGCAGGCGCGCAAAUUACCCACUCUCAGAACGAGGAGGUAGUGACGAGAAAUAACGAGACCGUUCUCUACGAGGCCGGUCAUCGGAAUGGGUACAAUCUAAACCCUUUAACGAGUAUCUAUGAGAGGGCAAGUCUGGUGCCAGCAGCCGCGGUAAUUCCAGCU
rnacentral:rRNA from 1 species